rnacentral:rRNA from 1 species
GACGGGGGAUGCGAGCGUUAUCCGGAAUGAUUGGGCGUAAAGGGUCCGCAGGUGGCCCGGUCAGUCCGCUGUCAAAGCCUGGGGCUCAACCCUGGAGAGGCGGCGGAGACCACCGGGCUUGAGUCCGGUAGGGGCAGAGGGAAUUCCCGGUGGAGCGGUGAGAUGCGUAGAGAUCGGAAAGAACACCAACGGCGAAAGCACUCUGCUGGGCCGACACUGACACUGAGAGACGAAAGCUAGGGGAGCGAAUGGG